UAAGUAUUUUAACUCAAUUUUAAAGAAUUUUCCUGUAUUUUUUGUUUUGUUGUUUAUGAUUUACAUUAUCCGAUUUGAAUGUUAUGAGGGGAUUAUUUUUUGUGGAUGUCUUUAUUGAGUGAUGUUCUUACUGAUUCUUUUGUUUUGGUUUUAAUUUUUUCAUGAAUAACCCUAAAUGUUAUGCCACUGCCGGACUAUCAAUCUUCGUCGAACAUGUUACAGUGAACACGACCAGAGGCAAACUAAUAGUGUUUCGGUAAGCUUAUAAAUUUUCCAUAGAGAAGAAACGAAUGGAGAAGCAUUCUUAGAGUUUCUGGUGCAUUUUCUUGCUGUCAAAAGAUGCAAUUCUUUAUGGUUUUAAUGGUUGUCAAACUUUUCGCAAACUUAGACCAUUCCUCAGGCCAGAAAAGACAACUUUCCAGGUCCACAGAAGUUUUGGUCGAGUGCAGUUUCACAAGAUCAGUCCGGUGGAUAGUUGAAAAGAAGCAACAUCUCGGGCUUCAGCAUGGAGAAAUGCAGAAGUAUGAUGUUUUACGUAAUGUUGUUAAUCUUAAAUUAUUUUCUUAUAUGCUAUUGUAGAGAUGUUCAGGUUGAUUUAACUCUUUGGGAUGAUUAUGCUAAGGACAUGUGUUCUUACAUGGUUAGUAAAUAUCGUGAAGCGCAUGUUGUCAUUGCUGUCCAUUUGGUGCUGUUAAGACCUACAAAGGUAAAUGGGGGAUUUCUAAUAAUUUUGAUGGUUCACGGCUUUUCAUUGACGACAAUUUUGAUCAGAUGCUAACGUUCAAGAAAAAGUUUCUUGCAAAACUUGCUACUUCAACCGAGUCAAGUAGCCAUGUUGGGUCAUAUGUGAUAUGUUCUGUAGAAGAUGAAUUUUUGAACAAUGACGUUUUUUCACCAAUUGCUUAUCUUGGCUCAAUCAUACAGGUUCUUUAAAACAUUUUAUAUUUUAACUACUAACAAAAUUUUAAUAAGCUUUCAUUUCUUUAAUUAUUUAAACAACCAAAAAAAGUUGUUAUUGUUGGAACUAUUGUAGCAAUCGUUUCUGAUAAGAUGUGGUAUUAUGAUGGGUGUAACCAUUGCAAGUCCAAAGUUGAGCAAAAGUUUGAAACUUAUGAUAAGAAGGAUGGAACAAGUGAUGUUAGAGAUGAGAAGGUGUAUCAAUGUUCGAACAAGGAUUGUCAAGGAAAAGAUGUUUUCCCGUUGUCCAGGUUUAAAAUACCAAUUCGGGUUCAAGAUUCAACCGGUACGGUGACACUUAUAUUGUUUGAUCAUGAGGCGUUGAAGUUUGUUGGGAAAACUGCAAAGGAACUUUUAUAAAUUCAGGACGAGACAAAUGAGGUUCCCAGAGAAUAUCCGAAUAUCCUGUUGAAUUUGAGACGUUGGUUAACCUCAAGUGUGCUUUCGUGAUUAGAGUAACAGACUUUAAUAUUGUCAAUGCUGUUGAGAAUUAUGGAAUAUCAGUUGUUACCAAUGAUGUUGACAUAUUGGAUAAGCUAAACAAAAAAUGGAAAAUUGAUCAACUUGAUGUCUCUGAUUCAUUUGCUAUGAGUCAGUCUGAUUUCCAAUCUGUUGGUGGUGAAAGUGCAAAGGAUGGUGUUUCUUACAUCGGUGAUAACUCUACACCUGUUUCAAAGGAUUAUGUGGCUAACUUGAAGCAAUCAUCAGCCGAUCUGAAGCGUAACCUUAGUGAUUUGUAUGCGAUUGAAGAGGGACUGGGGUCGUCAGCAAGUAAACCUCGCAUAAGUGUUGAUAGCAUUUGUCUUGAUGAAGAUGUUGCCAAUAAUUGAUAAACGAGAGAAGUGAUUGUUACAAUAAAAAAACAUUUGGUUUGUUA